UCGGGCAUGGUGUAUGGUACACAGCCUCCUCUCCUGACAUUGGAAUCGACAAGUUGCGCGAGGCAGAUCGGGGUUCGACUCCCUGUGUCCGAA